AAGAUCUAAAUCGACAAUUUUGUGUGAGUGGAAUGAGCUACCAUUCACUAACUGUGUCUGUUGCACAAUGGAUGUCCACUCUGUCUGCCUAAUUACCCAAGCCAAAACAAAUUGUAACAGAUCUAGUCUAGUCAGAGGAUAGCAAUAGGCCCUCACUCCCCCUCUCCCUUAACGUUACGUAUCAGUUUAGAGCAGUGCAGAUUCUUUCUCUGGUGUCUGGAUUGCUUUGAUUUGCUGGUUUAGCGAAGGGGCGAAGGUAGGUCUGAGGCAGAAAACUGAUUUAGAAACACUAGUACCUCAAUUA